rnacentral:rRNA from 1 species
CGGUGCCAGCAGCCGCGGUAAUUCCAGCUCCAAUAGCGUAUAUUAAAGUUGUUGCAGUUAAAAGCUCGUAGUUGAAUUUCGGGGUCAGUAGAUUGGUCGUGCCACUGGUAUGCACUGGUCUUACUGAUUCCUCCUUCCUGAUGAACCGUAAUGCCAUUAAUUUGGUGUUGCGGGGAGACUGGACUGUUACUUUGAAAAAAUUAGAGUGUUUAAAGCAAGCUAACGCUUGAAUACAUUAGCAUGGAAUAAUGAAAUAGGACGUUCGAUCCUAUUUUGUUGGUUUCUAGGAUUGACGUAAUGAUUAAUAGGGAUAGUUGGGGGCAUUAGUAUUCAAUUGUCAGAGGUGAAAUUCUUGGAUUUAUUGAAGACUAACUACUGCGAAAGCAUUUGCCAAGGAUGUUUUCAUUAAUCAAGAACGAAAGUUAGGGGGAUCGAAGACGAUCAGAUACCGUCGUAGUCUUAACCAUAAACUAUGCCGACUAGGGGAUCGAAUGAUGUUAAUUUUUUUAAUGACUCAUUCGGCGCCUUACG